rnacentral:rRNA from 1 species
UGGCAUCGAUGAAGAACGCAGCGAAAUGCGAUAAGUAAUGUGAAUUGCAGAAUUCAGUGAAUCAUCGAAUCUUUGAACGCACAUUGCGCCCGCCAGUAUUCUGGCGGGCAUGCCUGUCCGAGCGUCAUUUCAACCCUCGAACCCCUCCGGGGGGU